GGAGGUGGAGCAUUAGGCAGAGGUGUAGCGGUAGGUGGAGGUGGAGCAUUAGAUGUAGUUGGAGCGGUAGGUGGAGGUGGAGCAGUAGGCAGAAGUGGAGUAUUAGGUGGAGGUGGAGCGGUAGGCGGAGGUGGAGAAGUAGAUGGAGGUGGAGCAUUAGACGGAGGUGGAGAAGUAGAUGGAGGUGGAGCAUUAGGCAGAGGUGUAGCGGUAGGUGGAGGUGGAGCAUUAGAUGUAGUUAGAGUGGUAGGUGGAGGUGGAGCAUUAGGCAGAGGUGGAGCAGUAGGCAGAAGUGGAGUAUUAGGUGGAGGCGGAACUGUAGGCGGAGGUGGAGCGGUAUUACUUCAAGAGUAUCAAAUUACUUCAAGAGCCGAACAUUUCCAGGU
ensembl:lncRNA